ensembl:lncRNA
GAACUGACAUUCACAGAAAUAUUUGUGAAAAUGAGUUUUUCUAUUCAAACAUGGCACAUAUUUUUGCCAUUUAUGGCUUUUUUUGUAUCUUCCAGGGUGCUAAAGUUUUCCAUAAGGUUUUAGACAUUUCUAUGAGAUGCUUGAACUUGCAUUUUGAUGGUGUCUGUUCCUUGGCUCUGGGGAAACCAGCCAAAGUCCUUCAGUGUCUGCAAGCCAAAGAAACCCUACAGGAAAGGAGAGCUUUGAGAAAACGUGGCACCAGGAAAUUCCCAGAGGUCUUAUGUAAAACAUCAUGACUCUUCAAAUGGCAUCAUAACCUGCGUACUGAAAAGACAUUGAAGAACAGAGAAGCAGCAAGUCUAACAGCCCAGCGCUGAGGACAGGAGUCACCCUUCUGAAGCAGAGUGAGCUUCCGAAGUUGCCUCAAAUGUAAAAUGCACCUCCACCCUUAAAGGUGAGCAUUUGGCAUUGAGCAUGCUGCAGGCUCUUAGGGAAGAACACCUGACCUUUUGACCCUGAAUGGCUAUGAACCUGGGCUGAUCCUUCCAGACAUGAGAGAGCCACACUCUGACAGUCGUGCAGUAGGACUCGGCACAGUGGCUAGUACACGCAAGGCAUCCUGAGCUCCACGGGAACACCUUUAUCCCAUAAAGCAGGGGUGCCUGGGACUCUUACCAUAUGCCUCUGUCAGUGGCCUCUGCCUGCCCAUGCACGGCCGGGAGGAAGCCGGCACCCCGCUGAAGUGGGUCCUGAGCUUCGUCUCUGUGCGUGAGUGUGCGUAAGAACUCACUGACACGUUGCGUGACCCGAGUCUACAGUUCACACAGUCCACUUUUGAGGCUAAUAAAAUAUACCUGGUUGCUGUUGUUUAGUCGC